rnacentral:rRNA from 1 species
UGGGCAACCUGCCCUCAGCUCUGGGAUAACUCCGGGAAACCGGGGCUAAUACCGGAUAUGACCACUCCUGGCAUCUGGGGUGGUGGAAAGUUCUUCGGCUGAGGAUGGGCCCGCGUCCUAUCAGCUUGUUGGUGGGGUUACGGCCCACCAAGGCGACGACGGGUAGCCGGCCUGAGAGGGCGACCGGCCACACUGGGACUGAGACACGGCCCAGACUCCUACGGGAGGCA